rnacentral:rRNA from 1 species
GACGAACGCUGGCGGCGUGCUUAACACAUGCAAGUCGAACGGAAAGGCCCUGCUUUUGUGGGGUGCUCGAGUGGCGAACGGGUGAGUAACACGUGAGUAACCUGCCCUUGACUUUGGGAUAACUUCAGGAAACUGGGGCUAAUACCGGAUAGGAGCUCCUGCUGCAUGGUGGGGGUUGGAAAGUUUCGGCGGUUGGGGAUGGACUCGCGGCUUAUCAGCUUGUUGGUGGGGUAGUGGCUUACCAAGGCUUUGACGGGUAGCCGGCCUGAGAGGGUGACCGGCAACAGUGGGACUGAGAUACGGCCCAGACUACUACGGGAGGCAGCAGUGGGGAAUAUUGCACAAUGGGCGGAAGCCUGAUGCAGCAACGCCGCGUGCGGGAUAACGGCCUUCGGGUUGUAAACCGCUUUCGCCUGUGACGAAGCGUGAGUGACGGUAAUGGGUAAAGAAGCACCGGCUAACUACGUG